AUGGCAGAAACCCAUUCUCUCCUCGGUCGUUCACGGGUUCGUCCCCAUGCUUUAGCCGGCCACCGUUUCCCUGUUCUUUUACUGUUAAUCAUCUCAAUUCUAUCUAUUUCGCUCUUUCUCCCAAAGUCUGAUUCCCCCAAGACAUUCAACGACGACGAUGUCGAUGACCACAUAAUUCCGAUCACCGAACCUGAAUUCAACUGUCGUUGGAGUUCACUGAACCAAAUCCAGCAGGACAGAAUUCGAAGCUACAUCAGCAAUCAAACCCACGUUGGUUUUACCAUCAUGAAGCAGCUGCUUUCGACUGAAGGCAAGGACAGGAAUAUGGUGUACUCACCGCUGUCCAUCCACAUUGUUCUUAGCCUUAUAGCGGCCGGGUCAGACGGUCCUACACAAGACCAGUUGCUCGCCUUCCUUAAGUCCAAGUCCACCCAGGAACUCAACGAUCUAGCCUCCACCCUCGUGCCUCUGUUCUUUGUGGAAGGAUCACCAAAUGGCGGGCCUGGUUUGUCAUUCACCAAUGGUGUUUGGAUUGACAAGUCUCUCCCAGUCAAGCCUUCUUUCAAACGGGUAGUGGAUACUGCUUACAAGGCUGCCUUAAAGCGAGUGGAUUUCGAGCACAAGCCUGAUGAAGUUAGAAGUGAAGUGAACUCAUGGGCCGAGAAGGAGACUAAUGGCCGGAUCAAAAGUAUUCUUGCUCCUGGCUCAGUUAACAGCCAAACUAAGCUCCUUCUCGCCAAUGCAUUAUACUUUAAAGGAGAUUGGGAGGACAAGUUUGAUGCAUCAGGAACGAAAGAAUAUGAUUUCCACCUUCUCAUUGGGAGCUCAGUUAAGACUCCUUUCAUGACAAGGUGGAUAACAAGUUGGGGAAGGCGGUAUAUAAGUGUUUUUGACAGUUUCAAAGUCUUGAAACUCCCUUACGAACAAGGUCAACAUGGUGAGAAGUGUUUGUCCAUGUAUGUGUUUCUUCCAAACGAUAGAGAUGGAUUGCCAGCUUUAGUUGAGAGAUUUUCUUCCGAGUCUGGGUUCUUAGAUGACCAUCUUCCGCAGAAAACAGUUAACGUUGGUGCUUUUAUGAUGCCGAAGUUCAAGUUUUCUUCUAAAUUCGAAGCUUCUGAGCUUCUGAAAACUGUAGGAUUGAAGUUGCCUUUGUACCUGGAGGUUUGACAGAGAUGGUAGACUCACCUAUUCAUGUUUCACACAUACAACAUGAAUCAUUCAUUGAUGUUAAUGAGGACGGUACAGAAGCUGCUGCUGUUACGGUUUCUAAUCUAGUGGGUUCCACAUUGGAUAAUGAGAAGCCGAUAGACUUUGUGGCAGAUCAUCCUUUCCUUUUUCUUAUCAGAGAAGAAACAACUGGAUCAGUGUUGUUCAUUGGACAAAUCCUCAAUCCAUUGCCGAUUGAUAAAUGA